rnacentral:misc_RNA from 1 species
GUCCACUCGCCGCCCUCGGACUGGAUGGCGUGGGUUGGUAUAACGCGAUAGUCAACCUCCGAGGACGCAGGAACUCGGCCCGCCAAGGAGAACCGAAGAGAACCGAACCGACCUCUUGACGUUCACCGCAAGAUAUCCGGCCUCCAGCUAUCGUUCCUCUGGGCGCCGGCUCCUGCAGCUGCGUUUUUUACUCUGUCGGAAACGAGGUAUUUUUUACUCGACGCUUGGCCCGCACACGUGCUUUUACGUACUUACGUCAAGUCUCCCCGGCUUGAUAGACCCGCGUCUCAACGAAUACUGCCACACGAUACCGACGGACUAUAUGUGGCUAUCACCCUCCAAGAUGUCUUUGGAAGAUAUAACGACCCUGUCGUCCGCCGUUUUGCACGACGAGGACGACACAACCGAGGAUGACGAGAGCAGCGCGAUACUCGUCGCGAAAUCAGUGACCAUGGUCUGUCUCUGCCUGGUCAGUAUUUGCAUAGGCCUCAUUCCCAUCCAGGUGGCAAGGUGGUUCAAAUGGACAUCGAACGAGAUAAGUCCGAGGUCAGCGAAGAUCAUUGACUUAUUGCUGGGCUUCGGAGGCGGCGUUCUCCUCAGCACAACUUUCCUCCACAUUUUGCCGGAGGUUUCCGAAGGGGUUGAGGAACUGGUGGAAGAGGGCUCGCUGCCCUCCCUCUCGGUAUCCUUGGCGGAGCUGCUCAUGUGCUCAGGGUUCUUCCUGAUGUACCUGGUCGAGGAAUUGGUUCACGUAUACCUCGGAAGGGACGACAAGAGGCGGAAAAGACUAUCCGAGAAUUCAAAGACGAUCAAAGAUGUCAAUAAGAGCACCAACGAGCUGGUUAUGGAGAACGGUGUUUCCUCCAGUCCUCAGCCCCAUCCUGGGUACGGCCACGGCCACAGCCACAUUCCCCUUCCGGCCGAAGACGACGAUGAUUUCGUGGUCAGUUCUCUGAGAGGGUUGCUAGUUGUUCUUGGUCUCUCGGUGCACGAGCUUUUCGAGGGAUUGGCCAUCGGCUUGUCGAGCACCGCGAGUGACGUCUGGUACCUCUUCGGUGCGGUAGCAGCGCACAAGUUCGUCAUCGCCUUCUGCAUCGGGGUCGAACUCGUCACGGCAAGGACCCGGUUUCCCCUGAUGAUCAUUUACAUUUGUACUUACGCUGUCGUGUCUCCGAUCGGAGUUGGAAUCGCGAUGAUCGUGACUGGCGGUGCAAGCGCUGCAGCCAGCGGACCCGUCGCUGUAAUUCUGCAAGGACUCGCAACGGGGACUCUACUUUACGUUGUGUUCUUUGAAAUACUGAGGAAGCAGCGUCACGGGAUAAUCCAAUACCUGUCGGUGCUCAUCGGGUUUCUUCUCAUGGUCGCGAUCCAGUUUUCCUUGGGCCACGAACACUCGCACUCUCACUAACGAAGUACUAACAACCCACAGACAAUUCAAAGAAUAGAAUAAACGAGAAAUAAUUUUACACCUGCGCCCGAAUCAUCCCGGAUGAACGAGGAGGACGUAAGGACGUCGUGACCGGCAAUCGCAGCUCUGAAAGUGAUGCAGUUCUCUUACGAGGCUAUGUGCAGGAUAUUUCGAUCGCCAACGUAAGGUGAACAAAACUUCACACUCCCACGAACAUGGUCAUGGUCAUAGCCAUGGCCAUUCCCACGAGGAAGAAACCAAGAACGGCGACGACGAUCAUCUGCAGAAUCACGAUCAUCGGCAUCAUCCCGAUGACUUGAUAGCCUCGAC